AACCAGGGGGAUUGAGGCUCUUUCAGCUGCCAGGGGCUGUGGAGGAGAAGGCAGCCCUCCUCCUUCUCCCUUGCCCCAAGCAGUGGCAGGAUGAUGCGUUGCAUGUGGGAGGAGGCCAGUGAGACUGGAGCCGAGGGAGCAAGAAGGCCCUGAAUUCAAGGUGAGAGAACAUGACUAUUUUCAAUGAGGGAAGGACCAUGUGAGCUGGGCAGUGCACAGAGAUGAGAGGAUCCUUCAAGUUGGAGGCUUUGGGUCUGCCAGGCUAUAGCUCCAGAGGCGGGCAAAUCUGCCCUUGCUAUUUUCCCAGAUGCUUCAACUUCCUUCACUGUGGUCUGAUAGGGUAGAAAAGAGUCUGCUGUUAGAAGGCAUGGAAUCUCAGCUAAUGGCUACAGGUUGAAUUGCUGCGGGUAUGGAUUGAGCAAUCAAAUCACUCCUUCGUGCUGUGCUGACCUACCAAGUUUAACUAUCAGCAAAUUCUGGUAUGGACACCUGUCACCAAAUCUUUGUCCUCUGACCUUCUGAAGUUGCACAAGGCCCUGAAAAUGAGACUUAAAGAGGAGCCCUAGGCUUGCCUUGAGCACCAUGCUCUCAUAGGCUAGUCAGAUAUGGGGGAGGGGAAGAGCCGGCCAUUCCUCUCACUAGAACUUGAGAAAGUUGCCCCUACAAAUAAUGUCUAGCAGGAAAGAAAGACAGUGAGAUUUUCUUUGGGGAGCUUUUAAAAAUAUAUCCCCAGGGGCAGCUCGGUGGUGCAAUGGAUAGAGCACUAGCUCCAAAGCCAGGAGGAUCUGAGUUCAAAUGUGUCUCAAACACUUAAUACUUCCUAGCUGUGUGACCCUGGGCAAGUCACUUAGCCCCAAUCGCCUCAGCAAAAAUAAAAUAAAAUAAAAUAAAAUAUAUAUAUUCCCAGUUCUGACUCAGUGGCCAAUCAAAAUAUCCCCUCAACCUUUUAAAAACUACAAUGAUAAGGAAAUGGUCAGAGAAUUCCUGUGUUUGCUAUGAAGUUAAGAACCAGGAUUGGCAUGGUAUAUCAUCAAAAACUUAAACAGGUUCACCAAACAUCCACGUGGGUUCCUGUUCAGGACUGAGCCUUCACUGUCUAGUCUACUAUUACAUACAUAAUUGUUCACAGUUUGCUACAUGACUCUUUCUUGUUCUUUGAAUAUUGAAAUUUUUGUGUUGAUG